AGCUUUGCGCAGUGGCAGUAUCGUAGCCAAUGAGGUUUAUCCGAGGCGCGAUUAUUGCUAAUUAAAAUUCAGAGGGCUAGGGUGCUCAGGUGGCUCAGUUGGUUAAGCAUCUGCCUUGGGCUCAGGUCAUGAUCUCAGGGUCCUGGGAUCAAGCCCCUCUUUGGGG
rnacentral:snRNA from 1 species